GGAAGGGAAAGCGGGGUGCGCUGCAGGAAGUGGCGGUUACCGGGGCGAUGGGACUCGGGGGGACGCGCGUCCGCCGAUGGGGCCGAGCCCGGAGCGGGGGCCCGCCCGCCCAGUCCUGGCCUGGGGGACCGCCGAGGUGGCAGAGUGGGUGUCGGGGCUCGGCUUCCCCCAGUACCAGGAGUGCUUCAGAGCCAACGGCAUCACCGGCCGCCGCCUCAUCCUGGUGAACUGCUCCAGCCUGCCGGCCAUGGGCAUCACAGACUUCAAACACAUGCAGUUGCUUUCCCCAGAGAACACGAGGUAGAAGUUCACAUAACCAGGGAGAGAGAAAAUCUCUGUGCCCCAGAGAUUUCACGACACGUGCGGGAGUUGCUGGGGAUUGAGGAGCCUGUCUUCAGCAGAUCCAUUGCCCUCCCAUACAGAGACAACAUGGGUCUCUUCCUGGAACAAAAGUCUCGAUCAGGACAGAAAGCAGAUGCCCUCACUUUCUCACAGUUUGUCCAAGAAGCAGGCCUAGAGCCCCGCUCUACCUUUGCUCCUUUCCAACAGGCACAGACUGGGGUAGAAAUAGAUGCUGUCCUUUUAUUGCAGAGCACACACACUCAGGAUUAGAGUCACACUGCAGUUCCACCUGUGUGAGAAGCCCACCUGGGAGAGCAGUAUACACCCUUAUUAGCUUGCUAUUUGUCCAGGAUGGUAUAGUUUCACAUUUUUCACAUUAUAUGAAAGGCUAUUGCAGCUCUUGGCCAUUUCAUGACAGCAAACACAUCCCUGCAUUGGCUCUUUUCUGUAAGAUUUUUUUCCAGUUCAUUUGCUUCCAGGAACUAAAUGAAGCAAAACAAAUAAAUCAGGUGCGACUUUA